AAAUAAUAAUAAUAAAAAAAAUAAAAAAAAUUGCAUUUUAUUUUUAUUUUAUUUUCUUUUCCGUUUGUACAUUUAUGCAUUUUUAAAUUCAAAAAGAAAAAUAAAUAAAUAACAAAAUAAAAUAAAAAAUGUUGUGAUGGGUAGUUUAGGUUAGUAUUUGAUUUUAUUAUAAUUUUUAGUACUAUUAUUUUUUUUAUUUUUUUAUUUUUGAUUUUAUUUUUAUAUAUAUUUCAUUUUAGUAUAUAUAUUUUUCGUUUUGCUUAAAUUAAAAAAAAAAGAGUAAAAAAAAAUAGUACUAGUUCAUAUAGGUUGCUUUGUAAUUUUAUUUAUUAUUAUUUAUUUUAUUUUAUUUUAUCUAUAUUAGUGUAUAUAGUAUUUUUAAUUUUUGCUUAAAAAAAAAAAAAAAAAAAGAAGAUCGAUCCCUAAAAUGGGUGGGAAAUCGAUCCCAUUUUUCUGACACAGACUAGCAAAAAAAAAAGGCCACGUGGAUCGAUCCCCAAACCAAGGGGAUCGAUUCCCUACCAAUUUAUCACAUUACACAGUGAGAGGAGAACUUUCGGCAUAAAAAUAUCGAUCCCCAAGUAAAGGAGAUCGAUCCCCAUUCAUUCCCUGCCUUACCCUAUCUCUUAACCCAAAUCCAAACUCUCCAGUUCUUCAACCGUCUCUCUCUGUUCGAUCCUCUCUUCCACGUUGUUGACGGUUCAACGGCGAUUUUGAUUUCCAGCGUCCCUGUUCAACGGCGGUUGCUGCUGGGUCUUUGUGGCACCAUGGUUCUAGGUUACCGAAUUUGAGGUCGCCGAGUUCUCCAGCGAUCUUGGCUGGGUCGAGGCUAUUCGCUGUUCUUUCCGGCGAUAUCAAGGCUGGUUCGUACAGCAACGACCGCAUCGGCGUCGCUGUUCGCCGGCGAUUUCUUUUCCAUCGUCCCUCUCAACGCCGUCUCGACUGCUUCUUCCCACGUCGUCACGGCUGAAUCGCCGUUUCGUCCAGCGAGUUUUCUGGGUUCGUUAGCCGGCAAUUCGGCUGGUUUCUUCGCCGCACCUGCUGCAUCGGCGUCCCUUUUCUUCCAGCAAUCGCGGCUGGUCGCGGCUACAUCGACAUCAUACUCCGGCGUUGCGGCUGCUUCUUCUUCAGCAAUUCCGGCGUCUGGUUCUUCCAAUAGCGAUCGCGGCGGCUCUUUCCGGCUGGGCUUAAAUUCCGGCGCUGUUUGAGACUCGCCCUUUAUUUUUCCGGCGUUGCAACUGGCUGUGCCCUCCAGCGAUUUUGGCUAGAUUUUGAUUUGGUUUCUUCAUCGUUUCCGGCGGCUUUUGACUGGGUUUUCUCCGGCAAGUAUGUGGGUUUUUGCAUCCAAGUUUGGGGGAGACCUCUUUCGUCAUGGAUCAUUGUCGGGCGUCAUUAACUUUUGCCAUCAUGGUAUACUCUUUCCAUUUCUUUCAUUGUUCUCAUUGCACAUUGAGGACAAUGUGCAGUUUAAGUUUGGGGGUAAGGUAGCCUUGUUACAUUCUACUUUAAGUUGAGCUUUAAAUGCAUGAUUGAGAUUUGAGAUAUAUUUGGCAAUGAUUUUGAACUUUUGAAGCAUAGUGCCUUUAAAAAACAAGUUGUUAGAGUCUAAUACUUCUUGUAUGCUCUAGGAUGCCAUUUAGGGGUAAAUUUUAAUUUUUGACAUCAUGUUUGCUUUUGUGGUACACAUCAUCUUAUUGGUUGAAAAUGCUUUGAGAGUUGAUUCUACAAUUUUACAUUUGCACUUGCGCACACUAGCAUUCAAUUUGUGGGGUACAUGCUUAGUUGAUUAUUGUCUUGGUUUAUCCCAAUUGAGCUAGUAUGUUUUGAAAGCUUUCAUUCUUGAUAAAAUGACCUUGCAGAAAAGAAAUAAAAGUACUCACCAAAGGUGAGAAAAAAAAAAAAAAAAAAAAAAAAACUGCAUUCUUUCAACAUGUCAACUGAUUAAAAAGGAAGACAAGGAAAGAAUGUAAGAUGUAUGAUUAGUUUGAGUUCGUAACCUAGCCAUUCCGAGUCAUUACGCCAUUGGGAGUGUCUUUACACUUAACGCCCUAAGACCAUCUGGUUUGGGAGUCGUUGGCUCAACACUUGUUACAUGGGGUGAUUAGAGAGCUUAAGGAACUUGAACAUUGCACAUGGUCAUACAUAAAAAAAAAAAAUAAUAAUAAUAAAUAAAUAAAAAAAAAUAAAAAAAAAAUGUUUGAUUGAAUAACAAGGUUCAUUAAAUGUCUUGAUGUCUGGUACUAUAUCUGUAUGCUAGUUUAAGGGUAAGGCUACGCCAUUACUUUGAUUUGCUAGGAUGGUAACACAUUUUGAUGCUGGUUCACUCAAAAAGGAUGAUAAAAUUGAUUUAAUUUGCAUGAUUAACUUGCUUGAUGUGUGGAGGACCAUUUUUGCUUACAUGAUGUUGAAAUAUUGAGAAUAGCUUAGAAAUGGCAGAAAUUUGCAUACUUGAAGUAGUCUACUUUAAACACUUAUUUGAUAUGUGUCGUUACUUCUCAAGUAAGAAAGAGCUGUUGAUGUUUGUGGGUACCAUUUCUGGAAACCCUCACGAGACUUCACUCGUCCACUAGGGGUAACCUAGGGGUUUAAAAGGCUUGUUGCAUAUGCUAAAUGCAACCGUGAUCCCUACAAAAGUGGUGUUAUCUUUAUUUGCUUAAUUAGUUCAUAGUUGUAUAUAUGUUUGUUUCAUUUCCAUGUUGUAGUUCAUUGCUAGGGACUAGCAAUAUCUAAGUUUGGGGGUGUGAUAAGUGCUUAAAUGUUGCACAUUUCAGCACCUAAGCUAGGGUAUUUCAGUCUUUACAUCUAUCUUAAGUUUAUGUUUUAGUCCAAAUUUAUAUUUAUGUGUAUUUCAGGGUAAUAAAGUUAAAAUGAACUAAGAACGGUCCAAUUAAGCCUUUUUGGAGUUAAGCAAAGAUUUUCAGAAAAUGGCACAAAGCGGUCAAUCUCGGGCCUUUGAUGAUGUUCCCAAAGAUGGAGAAGCAAACCAAAUACCCCGGGGCAAAAAUGGAGCUGAAUAAGGCUUAAAGGAAUUUUCCAACUCUGGGGGAUCGAUCCCCCAUGGUGGGGGAUCAAUCCCCCAGGACUUGGCAACAUUACAUAUUUUUAUUUUAAUGUUUGAGCUUAUUUUGUAACCUAGUGGGCUUUAAUAGGUUUAUUACUUAAGCCCAGUGAGGCCCAUUGUUUUUAGGGUUAGUAUUUAUUAGUUUAGUGAUUUAUUAUUUGGGGAAUUAAGUUUUAUUUUAUUAUUUUUUUAAUCUGUAUCGUGAUAUCGUUCUCUCUGGAAGAAAACGAAAGGAAGAAAAAAAGCGAGGGUUUUAAGAAUAUUUUUUACAGAGGCUUUGUCUACAGUUGAAGGAAGAAGAAGAAGGGCCAAAAGAUGGAGAUAGGACUUGUUGACACCAUGAUCAUCUCCUCCAUGAGCUAGUUCUUCACUUAGGGCUUGGAUGAGCCCUAAGUUCAUGUAACCCUAACCUUUGUAUUUCUUUUCUUAGGGAAUUAUUAUGUUGUAAUUAAAUUGUAUGGCCUUGCGAUUUCUUAAUAUAUACAUGCUUGAUUUGAUAAA